UGUGUCCACCCCGCCUGUGUCCACCUCCCUUACUCCACCAGUGUCUGGCCUCCAGAAGAAAAGAAAAUCAUGUAGGAAUGCAGACAUUAGUGAAUGCCCCAUUCAUCAAGGUCUAAGCGUUUUCCCCUACAAAAGGAUUCUGAGGCAAAGACUCAGAGAGGGUUGUGUCGAGGUGUUGGUGGAGUGGCAACCUUGCUCUGGAUGUGGAGCAAAGUGGAAAAACUCCUGGGAGCCCAAAGACAACGUUCUUCCUUAAAAAAAAUUGUUAAAAUUGUGUUUGUUGUGUUAUGUGACACAAAUUUGUUUUGGUAAGUUGUUUGUUUUCUGUUGUUGGGAAGGUAAUAAACAUAUUGUUUUACUUUCAAACACUUUGUCAUUGUGUUAUAUUAUUGUUGGAUGCAUUUCAUGUAAUUCUGAGAAGCAUCAGCUCGAGGGCUGAUGAAUAUUGGUACCUGAACAACACAAGCGUGAUGAGAUACUUUUGGUGC